AAGGGAUUAGCUCAGUUGGUAGAGCAUUUGUUUUACACACAAAUUGUCAAAAGUUCGAUUCUUUUAUUCCUUA
rnacentral:tRNA from 2 species